rnacentral:rRNA from 1 species
UCGUCCUACGGGACGCAGCAGUGGGGGAUAUUGCACAAUGGGGGGAACCCUGAUGCAGCGACGCCGCGUGGGUGAAGGAGUGCCUCGGCAUGUAAAGUCCUAUCGGCAGGGAAGAAGCAAGACGGUACCUGACUAAGAAGCCCCGGCUAACUACGUGCCAGCAGCCGCGGUAAUACGUAGGGGGCGAGCGUUAUCCGGAUUCACUGGGGGUAAAGGGAGCGUAGACGGCCAUGCAAGCCAGGGGUGAAAGCCCGGGGCCCAAACCCGGGACUGCCCUUGGAACUGCAUGGCUGGAGGGCGGGAGG